GUAGGGUCCGAGCGUUGUCCGGAAUUAUUGGGCGUAAAGGGCUCGUAGGCGGUUCGUCGCGUCGGGAGUGAAAACUCGGAGCUUAACUCCGAGCCUGCUUCCGAUACGGGCAGACUAGAGGUAGGCAGGGGAGAGCGGAACUCCUGGUGUAGCGGUGGAAUGCGCAGAUAUCAGGAAGAACACCGGUGGCGAAGGCGGCUCUCUGGGCCUUACCUGACGCUGAGGAGCGAAAGCGUGGGUAGCGAACAGGAUUAGAUACCCUGGUAGUCCACGCCGUAAACGUUGGGCGCUAGGUGUGGGGGACAUUCCACGUCCUCCGUGCCGCAGCUAACGCAUUAAGCGCCCCGCCUGGGGAGUACGGCCGCAAGGCUAAA
rnacentral:rRNA from 1 species